UUCAAGUUAUGUAUAAUAUGUUAAAAUUACCUUUCGAGCAAUUUAUUUGUUAUCGAAAUCGUCCACGUUCGCCGCGACGUUUUUUUUUAACCGGCUGGAUUAGCCCGAUUUAAUCCCGGAAGAUUCCGUAAACGCAGCUUUUAAACGCACUUUUGUCGCGAGACGCACACAGAAACGCGACCCUCGCGCCACCGAGGGAGCCCAUGGACCCUUCACUCUCCCUUGUAGCGAAUAAGAGGGAAAAACGAUCGCUAAUGUACACACAUAGAAAGCGAUUCGUUAAGGGAUACACAACGGACGCCACGAGGCGACUUGACGCGACAAAUGCGACGCGACGUCCUGGGACGCGAAUUCAUUUAAUUUAAAAACUUCGUUCACACGCCAAGAAGAAUUCUCGUCGAAAGAAUAACGAGUUUAAAUCGUUCUGGAAAUACGUAAGGUACGUUAGAAAAAUACGUGAUCCGACAUUGGAUGGAAACGUUUGGAAUGCGGACAAAUUGUUGUUACAUAGGUAAGACUCGUCGAAUAUCCUCAAGAGGGCGUAGGCGCGUUAAGUCAACCGUCGGAAUUGGACGGGUCAAGUUGCAACGAUGCGCCACGCAGUGAGAAUAUAUCGCAGCACGAGUUAUAAAUGACUCAUCCAUGUAAUUCAAGAAUCAAUAAGCGAAUAUAAAAAUAAUCGUAAUCUUCGAAAUUAAAUUUGUUUUAUGAUAAUAAAUUUUAUAUAUCGUAUAUCUAUCUAUACACAUAUACCUUUUUUUUUUUUUCAAAGAAUGAUCAUUUGAAUAAUUCAACGUAAACGAUGAUCGCCGAAAGGAAUUGAUUAAUUAAUUAAUCGAGGAAGAACGUGGCCAGAAUGCUCAAGAUGUUACGAUAUUGUUUCGAACGUUGCGCGUGGUGGAACGAUCAUUCAGAUGUAAACUGACGCGUAUUCGACGUAUCGUGUCUCGAGCGCCUCAUCACAGCUGUCGUACGUGAACCGUGUGUCUCGAAGCAAACUUGUGAUUGUUGUGUGUAAUAUGCGUUACGUGGAUACGAUACGAUAUGGAAGAUGCGUAUAUAAGUAUAGCAUGACUCAUCGUGCGAUAGCAACGUGUAACGGAAUAAUCGUAGAAAGUGUAUAUACACGCCCAUUCACAAAUUGAAAGGGAAAGAAAGUUUAAAAAACAAUUGCGGGUAUUAACAGGGGAGUGUAUAAGUACGGUGUGCAUCGAUAAUGGAUACUGGCACAAAUUGUAGGUUAUGUUCGAAAAAGAAAGGGAAACGAGACGAUGGAAGAAUAGCUUUAGUUAUUCGAUAAAAAAAAAAAAAAAGAGAAAAAAUAUCGAUCGACUAUAGGGAAAUAAUCAUGGAUAUCGUGAAUAAAAGAUCAUAAUGCGAUUCCCCCCUUUGAAAGAUGAUUAAGUUGAACUUGAAUUUGCUGAAUUAUCUCAAUUAAUGAUAAAAAAAUUAAAAUUUUUUUCUAUCUUAUUAUUUCAUUGAAUAAUAAUUCGUGUUAAAGUUGUUGAAAGAAAAAAAAUAAAAUGUUUCUCUCCACUCGAUUAUUUAUUACAUUCGAUAAUUGUUGAAUCAAGCUUGAUUCAAUUUAACCGAAUAUUACUGUACGAAGAAUUUUCGUCCGAGGCGAGAAGAUUUUAUACGAAAGAAUUCGUGUAAAAAAAAAAAGACGAGUUGCGUGUUUGUGAAACAGCCAACGAAAUUAGUUAAGAAGCAAUGGCACGAAGAAUUCG